rnacentral:rRNA from 1 species
UACGGAGGGUGCAAGCGUUAUCCGGAUUCACUGGGUUUAAAGGGUGCGUAGGAGGGCAGGUAAGUCAGUGAUGAAAUCUUUGGGCUUAACCCGAAAACUGCCAUUGAUACUAUCUGUCUUGAAUGCGGUGGAGGUGAGCGGAAUAUGUCAUGUAGCGGUGAAAUGCUUAGAUAUAACAUAGAACACCGAUUGCGGAAGGCAGCUCGCUACACCUGCAUUGACUCUGAGGCACGAAAGCGUGGGGAUCAAACAGGA